rnacentral:rRNA from 1 species
ACAGCAGUCGCCGCGGGAAUACGGAGGGGGCUAGCGUUGUUCGGAAUUACUGGGCGUAAAGCGCACGUAGGCGGCUUGGUAAGUUAGAGGUGAAAGCCUGGAGCUCAACUCCAGAAUUGCCUUUAAGACUGCCGAGCUAGCAGGUGAGAGAGGUAAGUGGAAUUCCGAGUGUAGAGGUGAAAUUCGUAGAUAUUGGGAAGAACACCGGUGGCGAAGGCGGCGACCUGUCCUUGACUGACGCUGAGGCGCGAAAGCGUGGGGAGCAAACAGGAUUAGAUACCCCAGUAGUCCCUGUCUCUUAUACC